AUUGAACGCUGGCGGCAGGCCUAACACAUGCAAGUCGAACGGUAACACAUUAACAGCUUGCUCCGACGGGCGGAGAGUGGCGGACGGCUGCGGAAUGUUCCGGAACCUACUUUUUAGCGGGGCAUAACGUUGGGAAAUUCACGCUAAUACCGCAUAAGACCUACAGGUGACAUCAAGGCCUCUUGGGAUCUUAGCCGACUCUAGGAGACGAUGGAGGAUUAGCUAGUUGGGGGGGUAAAGGCGCACCAAGGCGACGAUCCGUAGCUGGUCUGAGAGGAUGAUCAGCCACACUGGGACUGAGACACGGUCCAGACUCCUACGGGAGGCAGCAGUGGGGAAUAUUGGACAAUGGGCGAAAGCCUGAUCCAGCAAUGCCGCGUGCAGGAUGAAGGCCUUCGGGUUGUAAAGCGCUUUUGUAGGGAAAGAAAAGGAGCUGGUUAAUACCUGGGGGUUAUGACGGUACCGAAAGAAUAAGCACCGGCUAACUACGUG
rnacentral:rRNA from 1 species